UCCAAACGGAGGCGCUUGAGAUCCCACGAGAUGAAGGAGGGUCUACCUUGCUGAACGCCAGCUGGGAGAGCGACGAUGUGGACAAUGAUGCAAGAAAAUGUGGAGAUAACUGAGAUACUUGAGGUCUCCUGGCUGCACAUUUUCUGUUGGACUCGUGUGCAAAGACACCUGAUU